AUGACAAUAAAAGAAUAUGACUUUAAGGACAUUACUUCAGUUAUAGUGCACCAACAUCUCUUACACAUUAGCACUAAGGGAACACUGAAUGACCUGAUGGUUUUUGUCCAUAAAACUACUCGUCUAAGAUUACCACAAAGUAAAAGAUCUCUCAGCAAAAUUAUGCAACCUUUUAGGCACUAUUGCCCCGAUCAAGUCAGUGAGCUGGGACUUUUUAUUCUAAACAUGAACUACUGUUACAGCAACACACAUGGACUACUGGUGCCCCACACAACAACUCAAUGUCCACUAUGUGAAGGAGUCUAUACUACUGUUUAUACUAUACUGUCUAUACUAUACUGUCCUGGUGGACAUGGCAACACUUUUUUCAUGGUUACAUACAGUUUUAGACUGAUGUGGGCCAAAGCCUAGCACAUACCUGCCAACCUUGAGACCUCAGAAUUAGGGAGACAUUCAAAGGGUUUUUUUUGUUUGUUUGUUUUUUUUUUUACAGUGUUUACUUAUCGGAAAAAAAUAAGUUAAAUGUCACCGGCCUGUUCCGGGGGUGUCCAAAUUCAGAGGCUGCGUCCAACUGAGGACCCGGCCUUUGCAGGCUAAGUGGGCCGGGUCCUCCGAAAGCCGGGUAGACCGGAAAUGAGCGACCGUGAAAUUCGGGGGUCUAGCCUUCAUAAUUACGUCACCUCUGCCGUCUGCUCCUUGCUGUCUAAAUAAAAUAAAAUAUAACCGGACGCUUGCGUAGAUUCUCGACCAUCUCACACUUCUGUUUAAUCAGUUUUCUGUUUGACAUUUAUUCAGCUGUGUGAAAACCCCAGAGGAACCCUCCCGAGGGAUUAAUAAAGUUUUAUUUAAUCUAAUCUAAUAACUUUAUUCUCAGCCAAACCGAUUUACUCAUGAACAAAUAAAACACUGAAAAAGGCCAAACAAUAACAUGUUUAAGUUAUUUGAAGUUUACACAGCUACAUUCUCGCCUGAAAACAUGUUAAAAGUUUAUUUCGCGACCCAGAAAGAGUAAUGAGAGUAAUAUUAAUACUAAGUAGCUGCAGUAGCAGCUAUUGUUGGAAACUGGAAUUGGCUGGGCCAAUCUAGGAUAUGGUUUUUCAAUUUUGUUGUGGAAAAUCGGGAGAAAUUGGGGAGAAUGGUGGCUUCGGGAGCUUUUCGGGAGGGGCACUGAAAUUCGGGAUUCUCCUGGAAAAAUCGGGAGGGUUGGCAUGUAUGGCCUGGUAUUGCCUGUAACGUUAUUAUGACGGACGCAUUUUAUGAGUGAACUUGACUUUAAGUGACUUACAGGUUUAUUUGAAAAAUACUUUCUUAUAUGCACGUUCUUCCUCUUUGCUACCGUCCUGUCCUCCUCUCAGCGCAGGUUUGCCGCUGCUAAAACUAAACAGAGCUCCCUGAAAGGCACAGCCAAUCACAUUGGCCAUAUUUGUCACAUGAGGUAGGACUCCAGUAGAGAACGUAAUUUAACUCUUUCUGCACCGCUGGGUGACUGAGACGCUGACAGAUCGAUUUUUUCUUUCUAUCGGGUUUGUAUUUCUUUACUCGCAGAGAUCAAAUUAUUGGUGGGGACAAUUCAAUAAUCGCUGGAUAUUGGUGGGGACAUGUCCCCUCCGUCCAUGCCAAAUCGACGCCCUUGCCAACAGAGCUGUAAUUCUCCUAAUGUCCACAAACAGCUGAAGAGGGUUCUGGUCGUACUAUGUAUUACAGUUACCUGCCACAGCCCCGUGCUCCUCAUCACUCUUUCUGAUACAUAACACUGCUGCAGAGUUCAGGAGACUCCUGAAGAUGUAGCUAAAGUCUGCAAUGUAGAGGCUGAAGAGGAAGCGGAGAGAAGAAGACCCCAGUCAACUCCAAGUCAGGGUCGGCAGGCGAACUGGUCCAGGAUGAGGCUCUGCAGGGUCUUCAUGAUGUGUGAUAUUGUGUUUGGGCUGAUGCUGAAAAUCUGGGCCGAUUCCUGUUUUUUAAAAAGACAGUUUGUCAGAGACAAAUAUCAACUCUAUUUUAGAAGCAGCUCAUUGCACAGUCUGUUUAGAGAGAGUUUAACUCAGGACAUUUUGUUACAGCUAUAAUUUACAGAUUUUUCCUGAAUGACUCACACAGGCAGUUGCAAAGAGACUAUUUUGAAAAGCAGACAGCUAAAAAGAUACACUGUUUGUGAGAGAGAGAGAGAGAGAGAGAGUGAGCGGGCUUGUUUUUGUGGCUGUGCAGCACAGGGAGUGUGUUGCAGCUUUCUUGAGAAUCAUUCCUUCGUGAAAUUAAAUAGAAACUUGUUCUGUCAUCUUUGUGAGAGCCAGUUUAAGUCUUAGACCGUGAGAGAGAUUACAUAUUGUAAACUGACAGCUUUUUGUCCAGCUCUCGUUUUUCCACAUCCAUUCAAACAUCUGUUUGAGGGUUAACGCUUCAUUUUAGGGUUAUAUUUGAGGUUGGGAUAAGGCUCUGGAAGCUAAAUGAGAUGGUGAAACCUUGAGUUGAGAGGCAGUCAAACAAGCCCAGCUGUAUUUUUACAUGAGUCCUUCCUUCUACAAACAGAGUGGAGCAGGCUGGACUGAUGGUAGGAGAAACACUUGUAACAGAGAACAAAUUCAGGAUAAAAUGCUGAAAACACUGUUCUGGAAACCCUUCUGGGCACAUUUCAUGAUGAAUAUACCGAGGGACAAAAAGGCAGUGUAUUUUGAAAACAGCUUUUUCAUUUGUCUAACUGAAUUUGAAUCUGUUUUCAGUGAACAUACAGUCACCUUUUCUGCUGGAUCAUGUACAUGCACUUUUUUUUUUCACUGAAACCAUGUUACAAUGGGAUCUUUCAUGGCAGGAGGAUGGAGGGGAUUAUGGCCCUUGUAGUUUACUGUACAUGCAGGCUUGUGAUUAUUUAAGUGUGUCUGAUUACGUUUACAUCAGCUUGUACUAAAAGAACGAUUUAUGUGUUCUACGUUGUUAAAAGUGUAGACCACAUAAAAUUAAUGAAAUGAAAUGAUGGUACAAUUGUACUGUAAGAACAGUGAAGUAUGGGACUAAUUCUGUUGGUAGCAGGAGACACUGUUGUAAAGAAGUUGGUGGAAACACAGCAAGAUUUUCUGUUGUUGUUGUUCCCACGGUGACAGAAAUGUCCAUUGUAGACAUCAGGUUGUUAAGUUUGCAGUAGUUGAGGAUUAUUCAGCCUCCAAGCGACUUGUGUGUCAUCUACAGUUUCCCGAGUUUCCCCGGUGGAGUUUUACUUCCUCAUGUUGCUGAUUGAAAUAAUGAGUCAAGCUUUUGAUCUUCCUGGUGGUUUCUAUCUGUUUAGAAUACUCUCUCAUCAGAGAUGGCACAUCGUGUUUCCCGUCUCGGCAAUAUUUUUUUCACAUCUGCAGCACACUGUGAAAAAUCACAAGGUGAAUUUACAUAAGACUGAAGGCUUUCAGAUAAUUUGCAUGCUAAGCAAAACAGAGGCUCAUACAGCAACAGCUGUUUGACAUUACGCUGAUGUUGCACUGUAGUUGUAAACAAAAUGUCAAACUAACGUUCAGCUUUGCCUUAAAAUUUAGAUAAAUAUUAUUCUUUUUCCAGGCUCGUCUACACUGGAUAGAAACAUAAGGCACCAGUCUUCUAUUAAUGAUUCAGGCAAAAGUGGGAAGAUGAACAAUGAUCUCUUAAGCAGCAGAGAUGAUGUCAGACUGUAUAUAAAAGAUGGACACCAUAAUGUCACCUGCUGGUUUGUGGAGUCCUGUUUUAAAGCACUGAGUGAGAAUUUGUCUUAGUUUUCCUUUUAAUGUGUCCAAAUGUGGUCUGACCACAUUUACAAACGAAUGUAACGUUAUCAGCCGAGUCAGCAAGGUCAGUUACCGAGGUGCAUCGUAGACUGUGUGGGCGCAUAUAGUUGCCAAUUAGUCCUAACAUGCUAAUAAAUGCUAGAAUUUUACGAGCACAGGCGCCUUUUCAAGUAUUUCAAUCAAAAUGCUGUAAAAUGUAGCAAACAUGCCCCUGAAAAUGCAAACUUACAGCUUCAAUAAUAUGUAACCAGGUUAUGAAAUACAAAUUGCCACCAAUUAAGCGUAUAUUCAAGGAUAUGUUUCUGGGUGAGGGAUUUUUGGCUAAAAAAACAAACAAUAUAAAAUGUGUGUGUGGUUAUUUUUCAUUAACAAUCCAAGACGUGCUGCGGAGGUAGUGCGAUUUAAAAACCCAGGAAGCAUUAGGAAGCAUACCAGAUUUUCU
ensembl:lncRNA